GGGCCCGCACAAGCGGUGGAGUAUGUGGUUUAAUUCGAUGCAACGCGAAGAACCUUACCAGGGUUUGACAUCCUGCGAAUCUCUUGGAAACUUGAGAGUGCCUUCGGGAGCGCAGUGACAGGUGGUGCAUGGCUGUCGUCAGCUCGUGUCGUGAGAUGUUGGGUUAAGUCCUAUAACGAGCGCAACCCCUAUCGUUAGUUGCCAGCGAGUAAUGUCGGGAACUCUAACGAAACUGCCAGUGCAAACUGUGAGGAAGGUGGGGAUGACGUCAAAUCAUCACGGCCCUUACGUCCUGGCUACACACGUGCUACAAUGGCCGGUACAGAGAGCAGCCACUUCGCAAGAAGGAG
rnacentral:rRNA from 1 species